CGUAGGGGGCGAGCGUUGUCCGGAUUUAUUGGGCGUAAAGAGCUCGUAGGCGGUUUGGCAAGUCGGGUGUGAAAUUUCGAGGCUCAACCUCGAAACGCCACUCGAUACUGCCAUGACUGGAGUCCGGUAGAGGAGUGCGGAAUUCCUGGUGUAGCGGUGAAAUGCGCAGAUAUCAGGAGGAAACACCAAACGGCGAAAGGCAGCACUCUGGGCCGGUACUGACGCUGAGGAGCGAAAGCGUGGGGGGAGCAAACAGGAUU
rnacentral:rRNA from 1 species